rnacentral:rRNA from 1 species
UAAGGAAUAUUGGUCAAUGGACGGAAGUCUGAACCAGCCACGCCGCGUGGAGGAAGAAGGUUCUCUGGAUUGUAAACUCCUUUUGCCGAGGGCUAAGAAACGGGUAUAUCCCGUCGUGAAAGUACUCGGUGAAUAAGCCACGGCUAACUACGUGCCAGCAGCCGCGGUAAUACGUAGGUGGCAAGCGUUGUCCGGAUUUACUGGGUUUAAAGGGUGCGUAGGCGGUUUAUUAAGUCAGUCGUUAAAGGCA